rnacentral:rRNA from 1 species
UACAGAGGUGGCAAGCGUUGUUUGGAAUUACUGGGCGUAAAGGGCGCGUAGGCGGCCUUCUAAGUCAGACGUGAAAUCCCCCGGCUUAACCUGGGAACUGCGUCUGAUACUGGGAGGCUAGAGUAUGGGAGAGGGAUGUAGAAUUCCAGGUGUAGCGGUGAAAUGCGUAGAUAUCUGGAGGAAUACCGGUGGCGAAGGCGGGUCUCUGGGCCGAUAUUGACGCUGAGGAGCGAAAGCGUGGGGAUCAAACAGG